GUGAAAUUGGUGCCAGUGUGAGGUGUGAUAUGAAGUAUGCGAGCGUUAUCCGUAUUUAUUGUGUUUAAAGGGUUCGUAUGCGGCCUGUAAAGUCAGUGGGGAAUUCCUAUCGCUUAACGAUAGACGUGCCAUUGAUACUGUAGGGCUUGAGUAUAGAUGCCGUUGGCGGAAUGUGUCAGUUAGCGGUGAAAUGCAUAGAUAUGACACAGAACACCGAUUGCGAAGGCAGCUGACGAAACUAUAACUGACGCUGAUGCACGAAAGCGUGGGGAUCAAACAGGAUUAGAUACCCGAGUAGUC
rnacentral:rRNA from 1 species